ensembl:lncRNA
UUGAUGAUUUAUAUUAGGUUGCUGUACCUGCAUUCCUUUUUUGCACCCAGAAACCAGACAUUCAGACAUUUGCACUGUAUUCAAUGGUCAAUAUACAAGUGAAUAGGAAUGACUAAACAGUGGAUCUCUUUCAGCUGUCAUGAAGUUACUGGCAACAAUAGCAGUGAUAACAAAACUGGAAUGCCAGACACAUAGCUAACUCCUUGAACUAUGCUCCAUCAUUCACCUCCUGUAUCUGUAGCAGCCAUUUCUGGGCUUUCCUGUCCGAAAGCGCAGGCAGCCAUCCGGACAAGACUGCUUGUUUUUCCACAUAGUCGUGGGGAGCCUGGAGCCUAUCCCAAGGGACUCAGGACACAAAGCAGGGGACACCUUGCAAAUGACAAUCAGCCUACAAAGCAUGUCUUUGGACUGGGGAGGAAACCAGAAUACCCAGAGGAAAGCCCGAACACAGGGAGAACAU